rnacentral:rRNA from 1 species
AUUGAACGCUGGCGGCAGGCUUAACACAUGCAAGUCGAGCGGAGCGAGGGUGCUUGCACCUUAGCUUAGCGGCGGACGGGUGAGUAAUGCUUAGGAAUCUGCCUAUUAGUGGGGGACAACAUUCCGAAAGGAAUGCUAAUACCGCAUACGACCUACUGGGGAAAUCAGGGGAUCUUCGGACCCUGCGCUAAUAGAUGAGGCUAAGUCGGAUUAGCUAGUUGGUGGGGUAAAGGCCUACCAAGGCGACGAUGUGUAGCGGGUCUGAGAGGAUGAUCCGCCACACUGGGACUGAGACACGGCCCAGACUCCUACGGGAGGCAGCAGUGGGGAAUAUUGGACAAUGGGCGGAAGCCUGAUCCAGCCAUGCCGCGUGUGUGAAGAAGGCCUUUUGGUUGUAAAGCACUUUAAGCGAGGAGGAGGCUACUUAGAUUAAUACUCUGGGAUAGUGGACGUUACUCGCAGAAUAAGCACCGGCUAACUCUGUGCCAGCCGCCGCAGUAACAC